rnacentral:rRNA from 1 species
GACGAACGCUGGCGGCGUGCUUAACACAUGCAAGUCGAACGGAAAGGCCCUGCUUUUGUGGGGUGCUCGAGUGGCGAACGGGUGAGUAACACGUGAGUAACCUGCCCUUGACUUUGGGAUAACUUCAGGAAACUGGGGCUAAUACCGGAUAGGAGCUCCUGCUGCAUGGUGGGGGUUGGAAAGUUUCGGCGGUUGGGGAUGGACUCGCGGCUUAUCAGCUUGUUGGUGGGGUAGUGGCUUACCAAGGCUUUGACGGGUAGCCGGCCUGAGAGGGUGACCGGCCACAUUGGGACUGAGGUACGGCCCAGACUCCUACGGGAGGCAGCAGUGGGGAAUAUUGCACAAUGGGCGGAAGCCUGAUGCAGCAACGCCGCGUGCGGGAUGACGGCCUUCGGGUUGUAAACCGCUUUCGCCCGUGACGAAGCGUGAGUGACGGUAAUGGGUAAAGAAGCACCGGCUAACUACGUG